rnacentral:rRNA from 1 species
UUGAGCUUGAUCCUGGCUCAGGACGAACGCUGGCGGCGUGCCUAAUACAUGCAAGUCGAGCGGACCAAUUAAGAGCUUGCUCUUAUGAGGUUAGCGGCGGACGGGUGAGUAACACGUGGGCAACCUGCCCUGUAGACUGGGAUAACUUCGGGAAACCGGAGCUAAUACCAGAUAAUCAAUGACACCACAUGGUGUCAUUGUAAAAGUUGGGUUUACCUAACACUACGGGAUGGGCCCGCGGCGCAUUAGCUAGUUGGUGAGGUAACGGCUCACCAAGGCAACGAUGCGUAGCCGACCUGAGAGGGUGAUCGGCCACACUGGGACUGAGACACGGCCCAGACUCCUACGGGAGGCAGCAGUAGGGAAUCUUCCGCAAUGGACGAAAGUCUGACGGAGCAACGCCGCGUGAGUGAUGAAGGCCUUCGGGUCGUAAAGCUCUGUUGUUAGGGAAGAACAAGUACCGUUCAAAUAGGGCGGUACCCUGACGGUACCCUACCCGA